rnacentral:rRNA from 1 species
UUGUCCUUUGGACAAUGGUAGGAGAGCGUUCUAAGGGCGUUGAAGCAUGAUCGUAAGGACAUGUGGAGCGCUUAGAAGUGAGAAUGCCGGUGUGAGUAGCGAAAGAUGGGUGAGAAUCCCGUCCACCGAUUGACUAAGGUUUCCAGAGGAAGGCUCGUCCGCUCUGGGUUAGUCGGGUCCUAAGCUGAGGCCGACAGGCGUAGGCGAUGGAUAACAGGUUGAUAUUCCUGUACCACCUAUAAUCGUUUUAAUCGAUGGGGGGACGCAGUAGGAUAGGCGAAGCGUGCGAUUGGAUUGCACGUCUAAGCAGUAAGGCUGAGUAUUAGGCAAAUCCGGUACUCGUUAAGGCUGAGCUGUGAUGGGGAGAAGACAUUGUGUCUUCGAGUCGUUGAUUUCACACUGCCGAGAAAAGCCUCUAGAUAGAAAAUAGGUGCCCGUACCGCAAACCGACACAGGUAGUCAAGAUGAGAAUUCUAAGGUGAGCGAGCGAACUCUCGUUAAGGAACUCGGCAAAAUGACCCCGUAACUUCGGGAGAAGGGGUGCUCUUUAGGGUUAACGCCCAGAAGAGCCGCAGUGAAUAGGCCCAAGCGACUGUUUAUCAAAAACACAGGUCUCUGCUAAACCGUAAGGUGAUGUAUAGGGGCUGACGCCUGCCCGGUGCUGGAAGGUUAAGAGGAGUGGUUAGCUUCUGCGAAGCUACGAAUCGAAGCCCCAGUAAACGGCGGCCGUAACUAUAACGGUCCUAAGGUAGCGAAAUUCCUUGUCGGGUAAGUUCCGACCCGCACGAAAGGCGUAACGAUUUGGGCACUGUCUCAACGAGAGACUCGGUGAAAUCAUAGUACCUGUGAAGAUGCAGGUUACCCGCGACAGGACGGAAAGACCCCGUGGAGCUUUACUGUAGCCUGAUAUUGAAAUUCGGCACAGCUUGUACAGGAUAGGUAGGAGCCUUUGAAACGUGAGCGCUAGCUUACGUGGAGGCGCUGGUGGGAUACUACCCUAGCUGUGUUGGCUUUCUAACCCGCACCACUUAUCGUGGUGGGAGACAGUGUCAGGCGGGCAGUUUGACUGGGGCGGUCGCCUCCUAAAAGGUAACGGAGGCGCUCAAAGGUUCCCUCAGAAUGGUUGGAAAUCAUUCAUAGAGUGUAAAGGCAUAAGGGAGCUUGACUGCGAGACCUACAAGUCGAGCAGGGUCGAAAGACGGACUUAGUGAUCCGGUGGUUCCGCAUGGAAGGGCCAUCGCUCAACGGAUAAAAGCUACCCCGGGGAUAACAGGCUUAUCUCCCCCAAGAGUUCACAUCGACGGGGAGGUUUGGCACCUCGAUGUCGGCUCAUCGCAUCCUGGGGCUGUAGUCGGUCCCAAGGGUUGGGCUGUUCGCCCAUUAAAGCGGUACGCGAGCUGGGUUCAGAACGUCGUGAGACAGUUCGGUCCCUAUCCGUCGUGGGCGUAGGAAAUUUGAGAGGAGCUGUCCUUAGUACGAGAGGACCGGGAUGGACAUACCUCUGGUGUACCAGUUGUCGUGCCAACGGCAUAGCUGGGUAGCUAUGUGUGGACGGGAUAAGUGCUGAAAGCAUCUAAGCAUGAAGCCCCCCUCAAGAUGAGAUUUCCCAACUUCGGUUAUAAGAUCCCUCAAAGAUGAUGAGGUUAAUAGGUUCGAGGUGGAAGCAUGGUGACAUGUGGAGCUGACGAAUACUAAUCGAUCGAAGACUUAAUCAA